GACGAACGCUGGCGGCGUGCUUAACACAUGCAAGUCGAACGGUGAAGCGCCUUCCUUUUUGGUGGGUGUGGAUGAGCGGCGAACGGGUGAGUAACACGUGAGUAACCUGCCCCCUUCUUCUGGAUAACCGCAUGAAAGUGUGGCUAAUACGGGAUAUUCUGGGUCUGUCGCAUGAUGGGUCUGGGAAAGAUAUUGUUUCGGUGGGGGAUGGGCUCGCGGCCUAUCAGCUUGUUGGUGGGGUGAUGGCCUACCAAGGCGGUGACGGGUAGCCGGCCUGAGAGGGUGGACGGUCACACUGGGACUGAGACACGGCCCAGACUACUACGGGAGGCAGCAGUGGGGAAUAUUGCACAAUGGGCGCAAGCCUGAUGCAGCGACGCCGCGUGAGGGAUGGAGGCCUUCGGGUUGUGAACCUCUUUCGCCAGUGAAGCAGGCCUGCCUCGUUUGUGGGUGGGUUGACGGUAGCUGGAUAAGAAGCGCCGGCUAACUACGUG
rnacentral:rRNA from 1 species